UACGUAGGUGGCAAGCGUUGUCCGGAUUUACUGGGCGUAAAGAGCGCGCAGGCGGUCGUUCAAGUCGCGUGUGAAAGCCCCCGGCUCAACUGGGGAGGGUCACUCGAUACUGAUCGACUCGAAGGCAGGAGAGGGUAGUGGAAUUCCCGGUGUAGUGGUGAAAUGCGUAGAUAUUGGGAGGAACACCAGUGGCGAAGGCGGCUCACUGGACCGGUUCUGACGCUGAGGCGCGGAAAGCGUGGGGAGCAACGGG
rnacentral:rRNA from 1 species